CGGCGGACGGGUGAGUAACACGUGGAUAACUUACCUAUAAGACUGGGAUAACUUCGGGAAACCGGAGCUAAUACCGGAUAAUAUAUUGAACCGCAUGGUUCAAUAGUGAAAGACGGUUUUGCUGUCACUUAUAGAUGGAUCCGCGCCGCAUUAGCUAGUUGGUAAGGUAACGGCUUACCAAGGCAACGAUGCGUAGCCGACCUGAGAGGGUGAUCGGCCACACUGGAACUGAGACAUGGUCCAGACUCCUACGGGAGGCAGCAGGU
rnacentral:rRNA from 1 species